rnacentral:rRNA from 1 species
CAGGUUUACCUGUGUGACUGCGUACCUUUUGUAUAAUGGGUCAGCGACUUAUAUUCUGUAGCAAGGUUAACCGUAUAGGGGAGCCGGAGGGAAACCGAGUCUUAACCGGGCGUUAAGUUGCAGGGUAUAGACCCGAAACCCGGUGAUCUAGCCAUGGGCAGGUUGAAGGUUGGGUAACACUAACUGGAGGACCGAACCGACUAAUGUUGAAAAAUUAGCGGAUGACCUGUGGCUGGGGGUGAAAGGCCAAUCAAACCGGGAGAUAGCUGGUUCUCCCCGAAAGCUAUUUAGGUAGCGCCUCGUGAAUUCAUCUCCGGGGGUAGAGCACUGUUUCGGCUAGGGGGCCAUCCCGGCUUACCAACCCGAUGCAAACUGCGAAUACCGGAGAAUGUUAUCACGGGAGACACACGGCGGGUGCUAACGUCCGUCGUGAAGAGGGAAACAACCCAGACCGCCAGCUAAGGUCCCAAAGUCAUGGUUAAGUGGGAAACGAUGUGGGAAGGCCCAGACAGCCAGGAUGUUGGCUUAGAAGCAGCCAUCAUUUAAAGAAAGCGUAAUAGCUCACUGGUCGAGUCGGCCUGCGCGGAAGAUGUAACGGGGCUAAACCAUGCACCGAAGCUGCGGCAGCGAACGUAUCACCCAAGACAACUUUACGGAGUUGACGAUUGACGGAGCGAAGCGACGUCAAAGCGUUCAUUAAAGUCGAGUUGGCUUAGGGAUACGUUCGUUGGGUAGGGGAGCGUUCUGUAAGCCUGUGAAGGUGGCCUGUGAGGGUUGCUGGAGGUAUCAGAAGUGCGAAUGCUGACAUAAGUAACGAUAAAGCGGGUGAAAAGCCCGCUCGCCGGAAGACCAAGGGUUCCUGUCCAACGUUAAUCGGGGCAGGGUGAGUCGACCCCUAAGGCGAGGCCGAAAGGCGUAGUCGAUGGGAAACGGGUUAAUAUUCCCGUACUUGGUGUUACUGCGAAGGGGGGACGGAGAAGGCUAUGUUGGCCGGGCGACGGUUGUCCCGGUUUAAGCGUGUAGGUGUGUGUUCCAGGUAAAUCCGGUUCACUUUAACACUGAGGCGUGAUGACGAGGCACUACGGUGCUGAAGCAACAAAUGCCCUGCUUCCAGGAAAAGCCUCUAAGCAUCAGGUAACAUCAAAUCGUACCCCAAACCGACACAGGUGGUCAGGUAGAGAAUACCAAGGCGCUUGAGAGAACUCGGGUGAAGGAACUAGGCAAAAUGGUGCCGUAACUUCGGGAGAAGGCACGCUGACACGUAGGUGAAGUGAUUUACUCACGGAGCUGAAGUCAGUCGAAGAUACCAGCUGGCUGCAACUGUUUAUUAAAAACACAGCACUGUGCAAACACGAAAGUGGACGUAUACGGUGUGACGCCUGCCCGGUGCCGGAAGGUUAAUUGAUGGGGUCAGCGCAAGCGAAGCUCCUGAUCGAAGCCCCGGUAAACGGCGGCCGUAACUAUAACGGUCCUAAGGUAGCGAAAUUCCUUGUCGGGUAAGUUCCGACCUGCACGAAUGGCGUAAUGAUGGCCAGGCUGUCUCCACCCGAGACUCAGUGAAAUUGAACUCGCUGUGAAGAUGCAGUGUACCCGCGGCAAGACGGAAAGACCCCGUGAACCUUUACUAUAGCUUGACACUGAACAUUGAGCCUUGAUGUGUAGGAUAGGUGGGAGGCUUUGAAGUGUGGACGCCAGUCUGCAUGGAGCCGACCUUGAAAUACCACCCUUUAAUGUUUGAUGUUCUAACGUGGACCCGUGAUCCGGGUUGCGGACAGUGUCUGGUGGGUAGUUUGACUGGGGCGGUCUCCUCCUAAAGAGUAACGGAGGAGCACGAAGGUUGGCUAAUCCUGGUCGGACAUCAGGAGGUUAGUGCAAUGGCAUAAGCCAGCUUGACUGCGAGCGUGACGGCGCGAGCAGGUGCGAAAGCAGGUCAUAGUGAUCCGGUGGUUCUGAAUGGAAGGGCCAUCGCUCAACGGAUAAAAGGUACUCCGGGGAUAACAGGCUGAUACCGCCCAAGAGUUCAUAUCGACGGCGGUGUUUGGCACCUCGAUGUCGGCUCAUCACAUCCUGGGGCUGAAGUAGGUCCCAAGGGUAUGGCUGUUCGCCAUUUAAAGUGGUACGCGAGCUGGGUUUAGAACGUCGUGAGACAGUUCGGUCCCUAUCUGCCGUGGGCGCUGGAGAACUGAGGGGGGCUGCUCCUAGUACGAGAGGACCGGAGUGGACGCAUCACUGGUGUUCGGGUUGUCAUGCCAAUGGCACU